AGUGAACGCUGGCGGUAGGCCUAACACAUGCAAGUCGAACGGCAGCACAGUAAGAGCUUGCUCUUACGGGUGGCGAGUGGCGGACGGGUGAGGAAUACAUCGGAAUCUACUUUUUCGUGGGGGAUAACGUAGGGAAACUUACGCUAAUACCGCAUACGACCUACGGGUGAAAGCAGGGGAUCUUCCGACCUUGCGCGAUUGAAUGCGCCGAUGUCGGAUUAGCUAGUUGGCGGGGUAAAGGCCCACCAAGGCGACGAUCCGUAGCUGGUCUGAGAGGAUGAUCAGCCACACUGGAACUGAGACACGGUCCAGACUCCUACGGGAGGCAGCAGUGGGGAAUAUUGGACAAUGGGCGCAAGCCUGAUCCAGCCAUACCGCGUGGGUGAAGAAGGCCUUCGGGUUGUAAAGCCCUUUUGUUGGGAAAGAAAAGCAGCAGGUUAAUACCCCGCUGUUCUGACGGUACCCAAAGAAUAAGCACCGGCUAACUUCGUG
rnacentral:rRNA from 1 species